ACUCAAUCACUCAAGUGUUUAAGGUGACACUCCAACUCUCUAUUAUUCACAAGUCACAUGAAACAAAAUUGCCAUUCAUCUCAAACAAUCAACAUCUUUACAUGCAAAUGCCAUCAAAAGGACUUUUCCAAGGCUUGGAAUGUGGUUGGGCUAAGAAGAAAAAUUGGUUUUUUUUCGGAAAGCAAAGUCCUUGAGUCAAGAGAGCUAUCAUAAUAUUCAACAUUAAAGCACAACUCUCUCCCUCACCAAUCUCUCUCAUUUCCAAUUUUUCCCUUUUCUUUUACAUUGAGCUCACUUUUCAUGUUUUUCUUCUUUUCUUUUCUUUUUCUCACGAAUUUUUCUUUUCACAACAUUUGAGCUCAAUGCUUUNCAUUUGCCUUUCAAUUUCCCUCAUACAACCCCAAACUUGAACCUUUUCAUCAUAUACAAUUAAGCUCAUCUCAACUCAAGGUAAAAAAUGGCAAAACAAGGGUUCACAUCCUGUUAAGGCUAAGGUUCAAAAAGGGUAUAAUAUUUUCAAGCACUUUGGGUGAAAAUUUGGCUAGAGAAGGGUUCUCAAAAAUGGCCUUGAUCAUAUGAAAUUCACAUGCAAUUCCAUCAAUCAUCAAGAUUAAGGCAAUAUCAUUGAUGUUUUCCUAUGAACAAUGCAUACAACAAUAAAAACUUUGGAGCUCAAAACCUCACACAACAUGCUUUCUCACACAAGGUUCAUUCAUACAUCAUGCUUAGCAUCAUAACCACAAUCAUAAUUCAUCACACAUCUAUUUCACUGGAUAUCAACAUGCAUUGCAACUCAAUUCUCAUCCACCUCAAGUCCUCAUCAAAUAGGCUCAUCAUGCAUAUCAGUCAGUCAAACAUUUUCAGAAAAAGUGUUCAAGCUAAGAAUACACACU
rnacentral:lncRNA from 1 species